UCUCUUCCUCCCUAGAGGCUGAGGUUUUGUAUAUCAUUGCUGCGCAGAUGUUUGUUUUACUGGGCGUGUUUAUACUGCAUCCUCAACACCGACAUAGAUGCAGGAACAGAGGACAGAAUAUUGUCAGGUUGUGAAAGCGUGCCGGUUGGUGGCUGCUAAAGCUUGCCUGGCAAGGUAUCAGUUUUUCUAGGAAGUCUCCAACGCAGAAAGGAAACAAUGCCUACCCUUCUGAGGCCGGAGGAACUGUUACCUUAAAGGAGAACGCAUCAUUUGGCCCAGUUGGGGAAAAAUUACCAUGAAAAGAGGACAAACGGAAACAAUUCUCAGGAUUUUGUGGAGCAAAUUCCCAAAUUUGGCCUACAUUCCCACGUAAGGACCUUUGUAGAGCCACGUUUCUCUUUCAAAGCUUUCUUUUGUAUUUUUUUUUUUUCCCAUUGAGGAAUAAACUACAAAGUGGA